UUUUUCUUUCCCAUAUAUUUCUUAGUCCUCAUCUGGAGCACUUAUGACUGACCAAACCAUCAGGAAGAAAACUAGAGAGACAAGUGUGAAUAAUGAUGCCAGGGAUUUCAAGCUAGAAGGUGUUGAAAAGGAGAACUCUUUCUUUGGGGCUUUUACCCUGACCACUGAGGCAAAAUUCAGGACAAAGAAAGUUCAAAGAAGUUUACCGAAAGGAGUCAAGGUGGCAACAUUGAUGGGCAUCGGCAAGGUUUCAAGGUGAGACAAUUUGGAAAUGUGUCCAUUAGUAAAAAGAGGUUGGAUCAGGUGGGUCGGAAAAGUGACUUAACUACGUGACAAACGUCAGGGGAUGUGGAUCAAAUAAUGGCUCCCCCCAACACUGAUUGACCAACAGGGCUGUGAACAACGGGUCACUCAGUCAACAUAACUUUCAGUGAAGGAACCUCAGAAGUCAUCUAUCUACUCAUUAACCCCCUGGUGCAUUUGGGUGGCUUGCUCCAAAUCACACAGGUAUCAAACAUCAGAGAUAUGAUUUGAAUCCAGGUCUGCUGAGUCGAUAAGCCAGUGCUCUUUCCAUUGUAUCAUCCUGACUCUCAAUGAACUUAUGAUCAUUAGUUCUUGUUCUAUUAUCUGAAGUCACACAUAUAUCUAAUUAGCCUUCCAACUGGUCCUCCGGUAACUUGGUUUACUCUCAUCAUCCUGGUCAUCAGCAUUGUGGACCUUUUGCUAUAUUAAGUAUAGUUUUUUUUUCUUUUUUUUUUAUUCGUUAAAGAUCAUUUUAUUUUCCUCCCCCCCACCCCCCAUAGCCGACGCGUAAGUCCACUGGGCAUUAGAUGUUUUCUUGAUUUGAACCCGUUGCUUUGUUGAUAGUAUUUGCACUAGAGUGUUCAUUUAGAGUCUGUCCUCUGUCAUGUCCCCUCAACCUCUGUAUUCAGGCAGUUGCUUUUUCUCGGUGUUUCCACUCCCAUAGUUUAUCCUUUGCUUAUGAAUGGUGUUUUUUUCUCCUGGAUCCCUGCAGAUUGUUCAGGGACAUUACACCGCCAUUAAUGGAGAUGUCCAUUACGUUUGAUUGUACCACAGUGUGUCAGUCUCUGUGUACAAUGUUCUCCUGGUUCUGCUCCUCUCGCUCUGCAGCACUUCCUGGAGGUUGUUCCAGUCUCCAUGGAACUUCUCCACUUUAUUAUUCUAUUAAGUAUAGUUUUAAGACUACCUUCUUCCUCCUCAUUCCCAUGACCUCUUCCUAACCUUCCUUCUGUCAUUUCCCCCUUCCACAUGCCCUUUCCCCGUCUAGAGCCACUGGGAAGCCCUGAGACCAAUCCACAGGAUCUUUCUCUCAUGCGAUCCUACCUCGAGACAUCAUAGAGAUAGGGAGAGGGCGCUGGCCUCAGAGUUGGAAAAACCUUGGUUUAAAUCCUGCCUCUGACCCUCAGGAGCUAUUAUUUGACCUAGAACUUCUCUGGGCUAGAAAUGACUCAUCUAUAAAAUGGGGUUAAUGAUCGCACUUAUUUUACAGGGUUGUUUUGGUCAUCAGGUGAGAUGAUAUACAUAAAAGAGUGUGGGAAGUGGGAAGCUAUACCGUAUGAUAUUAAAUCCUUUCUAUCUGCCUAUAUCGAUUGUUUGUGUGAAUCAGUCACUAAACAUUAAGUGCCUACUACGGAUCAGGAGGUAGAAUAAGCAGAGAAGAGGGAGGCAGUCCCUUCCCUCAAGGAGCUUACACUCUGUUGCCCAGGGAUGCAAUGUGUUCACAUAAAAGUCAGAGCAGAAUAUGUGAAAGAAUAAACACAGGGAUGAGGGGUGGAGCUAACA
ensembl:lncRNA